rnacentral:rRNA from 1 species
AACGAACGCUGGCGGCGUGCCUAACACAUGCAAGUCGAACGAGAAAGGGGCUUCGGCUCCGAGUAAAGUGGCGCACGGGUGAGUAACACGUGGGUAACCUGCCUCUAAGAUUGGGAUAACUCGUCGAAAGAUGAGCUAAUACCGAAUAAGACCACAGUUCCCGCGGGAACAGGGGUCAAAGGUAGCCUCUGCUUGCAAGCUAUCACUUAGAGAUGGGCCUGCGCACCAUUAGCUAGUUGGUAGGGUAACGGCCUACCAAGGCAAAGAUGGUUAGCUGGUCUGAGAGGAUGAUCAGCCACACUGGAACUGAGACACGGUCCAGACUCCUACGGGAGGCAGCAGUGGGGAAUAUUGCGCAAUGGUCGAAAGCUUGACGCAGCAACGCCGCGUGAGUGAUGAAGGCCUUCGGGUCGUAAAGCUCUGUCGGGAGGAACGAAUGCUCCUGAGGUUAACAGCCUCGGGAGGUGACGGUACCUUCAAAGGAAGCACCGGCUAACUCUGUG